UGAACAGUCGCUUUACAAAGCCGGACUUAUUUGCCCAGGAGUGGGAGUGAUUGAAGUAGGUUCCUUACUUCACUUUUAACAUGAAAUUAAAAUAUUUUUGAAAUUGGUCAAAGGAGACCCGAGAAAAAAACCGAUUCAAAUGUUCUCCUCAGAUAGUCACUAAACAAAGUCUUUGGCAUUUGCCCAGUACUGGGAGUGGUCAAAGUAGGUUCUUUACUUCACUCUUAACAUGAAAUCAAAAUAUUUUUGAAAUCAGUCCUUGGGGUCCGGAGAAAACCCGGUUCUAAUAUUCCACAUGAACAGUCACUUUACAAAGCCUGUCUUAUUUACCCAGUAGUGGGAGUGAUUGAAAUAGGUUCCUUAAUUCACUUUUAACAUGAAAUUAAAAUAUUUUUGAAAUCGGUCAAAGGAGACCCGAGAAAAAAACCGAUUCAAAUGUUCUCCUCAGAUAGUCACUUAAAAAAGUCUUUGGCAUUUGCCCAGUACUGGGAGUGGUCAAAGUAGGUUCUUUACUUCACUCUUAACAUGAAAUCAAAAUAUUUUUGAAAUCAGUCCUUGGGGUCCGGAGAAAACCCGGUUCUAAUAUUCCACAUGAACAGUCGCUUUACAAAGCCUGACUUAUUUGCCCAGGAGUGGGAGUGAUUGAAGUAGGUUCCUUACUUCACUUUUAACAUGAAAUUAAAAUAUUUUUGAAAUCGGUCAAAGGAGACCCGAGAAAAAAACCGAUUCAAAUGUUCUCCUCAGAUAGUCACUUAACAAAGUCUUUGGCAUUUGCCCAGUACUGGGAGUGGUCAAAGUAGGUUCUUUACUUCACUCUUAACAUGAAAUCAAAAUAUUUUUGAAAUCAGUCCUUGGGGUCCGGAGAAAACCCGGUUCUAAUAUUCCACAUGAACAGUCGCUUUACAAAGCCUGACUUAUUUGCCCAGGAGUGGGAGUGAUUGAAGUAGGUUCCUUACUUCACUUUUAACAUGAAAUUAAAAUAUUUUUGAAAUCGGUCAAAGGAGACCCGAGAAAAAAACUGAUUCAAAUGUUCUCCUCAGAUAGUCACUUAACAAAGUCUUUGGCAUUUGCCCAGUACUGGGAGUUGUCAAAGUAGGUUCUUUACUUCACUCUUAACAUGAAAUCAAAAUAUUUUUGAAAUCAGUCCUUGGGGUCCGGAGAAAACCCGGUUCUAAUAUUCCACAUGAACAGUCUCUUUACAAAGCCUGACUUAUUUGCCCAGGAGUGGGAGUGAUUGAAGUAGGUUCCUUACUUCACUUUUAACAUGAAAUUAAAAUAUUUUUGAAAUUGGUCAAAGGAGACCCGAGAAAAAAACCGAUUCAAAUGUUCUCCUCAGAUAGUCACUUAACAAAGUCUUUGGCAUUUGCCCAGUACUGGGAGUGGUCAAAGUAGGUUCUUUACUUCACUCUUAACAUGAAAUCAAAAUAUUUUUGAAAUCAGUCCUUGGGGUCCGGAGAAAACCCGGUUCUAAUAUUCCACAUGAACAGUCGCUUUACAAAGCCUGACUUAUUUGCCCAGGAGUGGGAGUGAUUGAAGUAGGUUCCUUACUUCACUUUUAACAUGAAAUUAAAAUAUUUUUGAAAUCGGUCAAAGGAGACCCGAGAAAAAAAACCGAUUCAAAUGUUCUCCUCAGAUAGUCACUUAACAAAGUCUUUGGCAUUUGCCCAGUAGUGGGAGUGGUCAAAAUAGGUUCUUUACUUCACUCUUAACAUGAAAUCCAAAUAUUUUUGAAAUCGGUCCCUGGGGUCCGGAGAAAAACCGGUUCUAAUAUUCCACAUGAACAGUCGCUUUACAAAGCCUGUCUUAUUUGCCCAGUAUUGGGAGUGAUUGGAAUAGGUUCCUUACUUCACUUUUAACAUGAAAUUAAAAUAUUUUUGAAAUCUGUCCCAGGGGUCCCGAGAAAAACCGUUUCAAAUGUUCUCCUUAGAUAGUCACUUAACAAAGUCUUUGGCAUUUGCCCAGUAGUGGGAGUGGUCAAAGUAGGUUCUUUUGCUUCACUCUUAACAUGAAAUUAAAAUAUUUUUGAAAUCGGUCCCUGGGGUCCGGGUGAAAAACCGGUUCAAAUAUUCUCCAUGAAGAGUCACUUUACAAGGCCUGAGCCAUUUGCCUAGUAGUGGGAGUGAUUGAAAUAGGUUCUUUACUUCACACAUGAAAUUAAAAUAUUUUUGAAAUCGGUCCCAGGGGUCCCGAGGAAAACCGGUUUAAAUGUUCUCCUUAGAUAUUCACUUAACAAAGUCUUUGGCAUUUGCCCAGUAGUGGGAGUGGUCAAAAUAGGUUCUUUACUUCACUCUUAACAUGAAAUCCAAAUAUUUUUGAAAUCGGUCCCUGGGGUCCGGAGAAAAACCGGUUCUAAUAUUCCACAUGAACAGUCGCUUUACAAAGCCUGACUUAUUUGCCCAGGAGUGGGAGUGAUUGAAGUAGGUUCCUUACUUCACUUUUAACAUGAAAUUAAAAUAUUUUUGAAAUCGGUCAAAGGAGACCCGAGAAAAAAACCGAUUCAAAUGUUCUCCUCAGAUAGUCACUUAACAAAGUCUUUGGCAUUUGCCCAGUACUGGGAGUGGUCAAAGUAGGUUCUUUACUUCACUCUUAACAUGAAAUCAAAAUAUUUUUGAAAUCAGUCAUUGGGGUCCGGAGAAAACCCGGUUCUAAUAUUCCACAUGAACAGUCACUCUACAAAGCCUGUCUUAUUUACCCAGUAGUGGGAGUGAUUGAAAUAGGUUCCUUAAUUCACUUUUAACAUGAAAUUAAAAUAUUUUUGAAAUCGGUCAAAGGAGACCCGAGAAAAAAACUGAUUCAAAUGUUCUCCUCAGAUAGUCACUUAACAAAGUCUUUGGCAUUUGCCCAGUACUGGGAGUGGUCAAAGUAGGUUCUUUACUUCACUCUUAACAUGAAACCCAAAUAUUUUUGAAAUCGGUCCCUGGGGUCCGGAGAAAAACCGGUUCUAAUGUUCCACAUGAACAGUCGCUUUACAAAGCCUGUCUUAUUUACCCAGUAGUGGGAGUGAUUGAAAUAGGUUCCUUAAUUCACUCUUAACAUGAAAUCAAAAUAUUUUUGAAAUCAGUCCUUGGGGGCCGGAGAAAACCCGGUUCUAAUAUUCCACAUGAACAGUCGCUUUACAAAGCCUGACUUAUUUGCCCAGGAGUGGGAGUGAUUGAAGUAGGUUCCUUACUUCACUUUUAACAUGAAAUUAAAAUAUUUUUGAAAUCGGUCCCAGGGGUCCCGAGAAAAACUGUUUCAAAUGUUCUCCUUAGAUAGUCACUUAACAAAGUCUUUGGCAUUUGCCCAGUAGUGGGAGUGGUCAAAAUAGGUUCUUUACUUCACUCUUAACAUGAAAUCCAAAUAUUUUUGAAAUCGGUCCCUGGGGUCCGGAGAAAAACCGGUUCUAAUGUUCCACAUGAACAGUCGCUUUACAAAGCCUGUCUUAUUUACCCAGUAGUGGGAGUGAUUGAAAUAGGUUCCUUACUUCACUUUUAACAUGAAAUUAAAAUAUUUUUGAAAUCGGUCAAAGGAGACCCGAGAAAAAAAACCGAUUCAAAUGUUCUCCUCAGAUAGUCACUUAACAAAGUCUUUGGCAUUUGCCCAGUAGUGGGAGUGGUCAAAAUAGGUUCUUUACUUCACUCUUAACAUGAAAUCCAAAUAUUUUUGAAAUCGGUCCCUGGGGUCCGGAGAAAAACCGGUUCUAAUAUUCCACAUGAACAGUCGCUUUACAAAGCCUGUCUUAUUUGCCCAGUAUUGGGAGUGAUUGGAAUAGGUUCCUUACUUCACUUUUAACAUGAAAUUAAAAUAUUUUUGAAAUCGGUCAAAGGAGACCCGAGAAAAAAACCGAUUCAAAUGUUCUCCUCAGAUAGUCACUUAACAAAGUCUUUGGCAUUUGCCCAGUAGUGGGAGUGGUCAAAGUAGGUUCUUUACUUCACUCUUAACAUGAAAUCAAAAUAUUUUUGAAAUCAGUCCUUGGGGUCCGGAGAAAACCCGGUUCUAAUAUUCCACAUGAACAGUCGCUUUACAAAGCCUGACUUAUUUGCCCAGGAGUGGGAGUGAUUGAAGUAGGUUCCUUACUUCACUUUUAACAUGAAAUUAAAAUAUUUUUAAAACGGUCAAAGGAGACCCGAGAAAAAAACCGAUUCAAAUGUUCUCCUCAGAUAGUCACUUAACAAAGUCUUUGGCAUUUGCCCAGUACUGGGAGUGGUCAAAGUAGGUUCUUUACUUCACUCUUAACAUGAAAUCAAAAUAUUUUUGAAAUCAGUCCUUGGGGUCCGGAGAAAACCCGGUUCUAAUAUU